GAGAUCCCUUGCUCAUGGGGUCCUUUCUGCAAGUCUAGAUAUUUGGAGAUGGAAUUCCGUUACUGGUGAUUAUAAUACGGAGCCUUUUAAUUAAGAACUACAGCAGUUCACCUUUAACUGCCAGUCACUGGAUAAUUGGCCCUUUUCUAAUAGGCACUGCAGCUCAGGCAGAAAAUGGUGAGAGAGAAUCAUGGAGCCAUCACUGGUUUUUCUGUACAAACUAGCUAAUACUUCUCCAAGAAGAAAGGAAGCUUUGGUGAAUUUCUUGCUUCAGCUACUGCAAAAGUAUAAUAGAAUGUCUUGGGCAACCACAGAUGAUGCAAAGCCUUUCGUCCACUGCCAUAUGGCAAAACAUUUUAAAAGCACCAGAGCUAUUUCAUCAGGUGGAUGAGACUGAAAAGAUUUACCUACUGAAUAUGUUUCAAGUUGAAACUAGCGCCCUCCUGGGUAAAAUGUAAUUUGUUUCAGUUUCACUUUAUUAAUUUGCUAUUGACAUUUCUCACAUGCUGAAUAGGCUUUUUACUUGUGCAAAUAAUUAGUGAUAUCUUCAAAAAAAUUCCAGUCUUGAGAGCAAAUGAAGUAGGCUUUAGUCCUGUAGUGUAACUUCUAGUUCAAACAAGUUGGGAAAUUUGUUUUUUGAAAGCUGUAAAAUUGAGUGCAAUGGAACCAUCUGCUGAAAAAGAAACAGCAUUGUGUCAUUUAGAUAAUAAUGGACUUAUGAGAAAGAGACUUCAGAAUUAUUCUGAAUUAAGAUCUUUCCAGAGCUGCUAACAAUGAUACUGAGGAGUCAAUAUCUU